rnacentral:rRNA from 1 species
GAUGAACGCUGGCGGCGUGCCUAAUACAUGCAAGUCGAGCGAACGGACGAGAAGCUUGCUUCUCUGAUGUUAGCGGCGGACGGGUGAGUAACACGUGGAUAACCUACCUAUAAGACUGGGAUAACUUCGGGAAACCGGAGCUAAUACCGGAUAAUAUUUUGAACCGCAUGGUUCAAAAGUGAAAGACGGUCUUGCUGUCACUUAUAGAUGGAUCCGCGCUGCAUUAGCUAGUUGGUAAGGUAACGGCUUACCAAGGCAACGAUGCAUAGCCGACCUGAGAGGGUGAUCGGCCACACUGGAACUGAGACACCGUCCAGACUCCUACGGGAGGCAGCAGUAGGGAAUCUUCCGCAAAGGGCGAAAGCCUGACGGAGCAACGCCGCGUGAGUGAUGAAGGUCUUCGGAUCGUAAAACUCUGUUAUUAGGGAAGAACAUAUGUGUAAGUAACUGUGCACAUCUUGACGGUACCUAAUCAGAAAGCCACGGAUAACUACGUG